GACGUAGGGGGCGAGCGUUGUCCGGAUUUAUUGGGCGUAAAGCGUGCGUAGGCGGCUGCGCAAGUCGGGUGUGAAACCCCGGGGCUCAACCCCGGAACUGCAUCCGAUACUGCGUGGCUAGAGGUAGGUAGGGGAGAUCGGAAUUCCUGGUGUAGCGGUGGAAUGCGCAGAUAUCAGGAGGAACACCAAUAGCGAAGGCAGCUCGCUGGGACGUUACUGACACUGAGGCGCGAAAGCGUGGGGAGCGAACAGG
rnacentral:rRNA from 1 species